rnacentral:rRNA from 1 species
UACGAAGGGAGCUAGCGUUGUUCGGAAUCACUGGGCGUAAAGCGCACGUAGGCGGAUUUGUCAGUCAGGGGUGAAAUCCCGGGGCUCAACUCCAGAACUGCCUUUGAUACUGGUGAGCUUGAGUCCGGAAGAGGUGAGUGGAACUGCGAGUGUAGAGGUGAAAUUCGUAGAUAUUCGCAAGAACACCAGUGGCGAAGGCGGCUCACUGGUCCGGUACUGACGCUGAGGUGCGAAAGCGUGGGGAGCAAACAGG